rnacentral:tRNA from 1 species
GGAUCCGUGGCGCAAUGGUAGCGCGUCUGACUCCUGAUCAGAAGGUUGGGUGUUCGAUUCUAAUCCU